AGAGUUUGAUCCUGGCUCAGGACGAACGCUGGCGGCGUGCGUUAUACAUGCAAGUCGUACGCCUUCUUUUUCCACCGGAGCUUGCUCCACCGAAAAAAGAAGAGUGGCGAACGGGUGAGUAACACGUGGGUAACCUGCCCAUCAGAAGGGGAUAACACUUGGAAACAGGUGCUAAUACCGUAUAACAAUCGAAACCGCAUGGUUUUGAUUUGAAAGGCGCUUUCGGGUGUCGCUGAUGGAUGGACCCGCGGUGCAUUAGCUAGUUGGUGAGGUAACGGCUCACCAAGGCCACGAUGCAUAGCCGACCUGAGGGGGUGAUCGGCCACAUUGGGACUGAGACACGGCCCAAACUCCUACGGGAGGCAGCAGUAGGGAAUCUUCGGCAAUGGACGAAAGUCUGACCGAGCAACGCCGCGUGAGUGAAGAAGGUUUUCGGAUCGUAAAACUCUGUUGUUAGAGAAGAACAAGGAUGAGAGUAACUGUUCAUCCCUUGACGGUAUCUAACCAGAAAGCCACGGCUAACUACGUGCCAGCAGCCGCGGUAAUACGUAGGUGGCAAGCGUUGUCCGGAUUUAUUGGGCGUAAAGCGAGCGCAGGCGGUUUCUUAAGUCUGAUGUGAAAGCCCCCGGCUCAACCGGGGAGGGUCAUUGGAAACUGGGAGACUUGAGUGCAGAAGAGGAGAGUGGAAUUCCAUGUGUAGCGGUGAAAUGCGUAGAUAUAUGGAGGAACACCAGUGGCGAAGGCGGCUCUCUGGUCUGUAACUGACGCUGAGGCUCGAAAGCGUGGGGAGCAAACAGGAUUAGAUACCCUGGUAGUCCACGCCGUAAACGAUGAGUGCUAAGUGUUGGAGGGUUUCCGCCCUUCAGUGCUGCAGCU
rnacentral:rRNA from 1 species